rnacentral:rRNA from 1 species
UACGUAGGGGGCAAGCGUUGUCCGGAUUUAUUGGGCGUAAAGAGCGUGUAGGCGGUCAGGUAGGUCGGUUGUGAAAACUGGAGGCUCAACCUUCAGAGGUCGACCGAAACCCCCUGGCUAGAGUCCGGGAGAGGAGAGUGGAAUUCCUGGUGUAGCGGUGAAAUGCGCAGAUAUCAGGAAGAACACCCGUGGCGAAAGCGGCUCUCUGGAACGGUACUGACGCUGAGGCGCGAAAGCGUGGGGAGCGAACAGG